GUAGAACCAUCCGUCCAGAGUCUUUGGCAUUCCACACGAAAAAAACAAACGCACGAUUUCACACAGCUCUUUCAAUUCUCUUCAUCUUCUAUUAGACUUCCAAACACAGUAUUACUCUUUCGGUUCUUUUCGUCUUCUCAACUGGAUAGCUUAAUCUGUUACAAUUAAUUUUAGGUCUCUUCACAAUUCUCCUUUGCUAAUCGCUACUCCUUCCCUGUUUCGAAGUUCCAUCUAUCUCUUCGGGAUGUAUUCAGCGAAUUGUCGCUUUACGCACAAGAAGCAUGGAGAGAGUACAAGACCAGAAAAAAUUCUAGUGAAUUGUGCUGUUAUGGCUGAAGAGCCAUGGUUGAAGGUCUUGGAUUUUGUAGCUCUCAAAAAGAGUUAUGUCAUUCUUCAAUGUGGAGAAACCAAAAAGUGGUAUCUCAUGCUGGACUAAAGCGCACAAGGGUCACCAGAUUGACCGAUGACUCCAUGUGGGCACAACUUGGAUUUCUACUUUGGCAGUGUGGUUUGAAAGUGAAAGCUACCUUCUUCUUCUACCGGUGAAUGUUAUUGCAGGAUUUUACACCUAUAUAAAAACUUUUUAACUUUUUCAACGAGUAAACAUCUUGGAGCUGACAAUGUUACAUUAUCAAAUAUUUUGUUGAAUAUUGGGUGUUGGAGAUGGAAAAGAAAUACAUCUUUAAGUGCAACAAA